rnacentral:lncRNA from 1 species
AUGGGCUUCCACAUCAGCCCAGCAGUUAACUCUCUGACGGAUGAAAACGAUGGGGAAACAAUCGGAGAAGUUAGACAAAAUCAGAAUUCUGAAAACAGAGCUGUCUCCUCAGGACCUAGUUUACUAACUGUCUUCCUGGGAGUGGUGUGCAUUGCAGCCCUGAUGCUGCCUACAAUGGGGGAUGUGGAAUCGCUGGUGCCUCUCUACCUCCACUUAAGUGUGAAUCAAAAAUUAGUGGCUGCUUAUAUCUUAGGUAAGGGUUUUAAAGAUGCAUUUGGGACAUAUGUGUAGGGUUUUAUGUGUUUAUGGGUGGUGGUGGUUUGAUUUUUUUUGUUUUUUUUUCCUGAAGAACAGGUAAAGAAAUGUUUCAAGAGCAUGUUGAGGUCAGGUGCCUUUGAAGACUUUUUCAGCUCACAUUUAGUUCUUUUUAGCUUACCUAAGAUAUAAGCAUUUAGGACUGAGCAUAUUCUUAUUCUUAUUUUAUAUUUUAUAUAUUCUCUCUUCAAAAGAAAGCAGCAAAGCAGGAAUGCCAUGCUUCUGUCUCUUUGUGGCCCUAGGGCCCUGGGAUACAGGUAGACUCUUGAUGCUUCUGUUAACAAAGUCGACUGGCUUUACCCAUGCUUUAAAAUGGCACAUCUGCUGUUAUUAUGGCUGAUGUGACUGAAUAAAGUAGGAGGUAUGUUUGAUAGUUUGCUUUGGCCAGACAUUAGUGAUUUAAUUAAAUCUCUCCAGUGACUGCCCAUUGCUAUAAAUUGGAUUUCUUCUUUAUAAUAUCAACAAAAUUCAAAUUGACUUUGAGUUCUUGGUAGAGUGCCUGCCUAUGUGCUAUGUUUUAUUUGUUCACUGAGGUCCAAGCAAUUGCUUAUUGAAUGAAAUACUCUGUUAGAUGCAUAUCUUUAACUGUUCUCCAUUUUUCUUCUUUCAGGUCUUAUCACAAUGGCCAUACUUAGAACAUGAGCAAGGAUUUCAGUUGACUUCUGAAGUAAAUCUGUCUUGAAAAUAUGAAUGUGGACUGCCUUUUAUCUCUAUUUCACUCCAUUAACAUGCUACAAACUAUUGAAUGAUUUCAAGUAAUUGCAAAUGUAUAAUAUAUAUUUUAAAUUAUAAUUUAAUUUGAAGGACUGCAGAACAUUAUUUUACAGACAGCAAGGAUGCUUCUGAGUGACACCUAGGAAAUUAUUUGAAGAAAUUCUUUUAUACCUAUACCUGUUGUACAAGAGACUUUAAAACAUUUGUUAUUUGCUCACCUUUUUUUCCAAAUCACUUUGAUUGCUAGGGGUCAUGUAUGCUUCAAAGUUACAGGACUAAAAGAGCAAACUGACCGUCCUAAAACUAAAAUGACAUUUAUUCCCUAGCUACAAACAUCAGCGUUAUUAUGUUAAUUAUACCUUGCCCUCUAUCAUUAUAAGCGGUUGCCAUGGUGUGUCUAAAAAUAAGUGUUUUACCAUUAAUGUGUAGAGGGCAAACAAAGCAUAAAGUACUAAGGGAUCAUGCUUAUUCUAGGGUCUCACAGAAGACAGGACAUAUUAAUCUUGUGAAUUACAGAAUGGGUUGUGGUCCAGACACCAAGAAUCAUAGGGGUUUUUUAAAAAAAAAAACCUAAUGGAAGUAGGGUGACCUCUCUCUUUGGUCUAAGAGUUCUAAAGGAAGGUAGGCAUCUGUUUAAUUAGUUGGUUCACCCUGGCUUUACCUCUGGUUAAUGCUUUGUGUUAAAAGGAAGGAAAAAUCACUUGAUCUUUUCUUCCAAGCCCCUUCCCCGCCUGACUUGCCCAGACUGGGAUUACCAGAUACCAGGUGAUUUAUGUGGAGAUGAUUUUUCACCUUUAAACUCUAAGCCAAGUGUAGGAAACUCUUCAUAGCUGUGUCUAUUUUAUAUCAGUCACUGAGACUUUUUUUUAAGUUUUUAUUUAUUAUUAAGACAACUUUGCCAAAAAAAUCCCCUAAGCACAACUAUUUACAUUUCUUUAUAGCCUCUUUUGAUCUCUAACACAUAUAUGCAGUUUUAACUGUUAUUGUCAUAGUAACUGAUCUUUUGUCUAAGGAUUUUUACCUGAAAGCACAAUGCAUUAAGAGUCUCUUGAAAAUCAUCUUUCAGAUCUUUUUACAGAAUGAACUUAUGCACUGCUACAAACACAAAUGUAUGCCUGAGGUUGGUUUUUGCAGAAAAUAGUCNUAUAUCAGUCACUGAGACUUUUUUUUAAGUUUUAUUUAUUAUUAAGACAACUUUGCCAAAAAAAUCCCCUAAGCACAACUAUUUACAUUUCUUUAUAGCCUCUUUUGAUCUCUAACACAUAUAUGCAGUUUUAACUGUUAUUGUCAUAGUAACUGAUCUUUUGUCUAAGGAUUUUACCUGAAAGCACAAUGCAUUAAGAGUCUCUUGAAAAUCAUCUUUCAGAUCUUUUACAGAAUGAACUUAUGCACUGCUACAAACACAAAUGUAUGCCUGAGGUUGGUUUUUGCAGAAAAUAGUCUCCGCUUCUAAAAACUUCUAUGUCUAGUCUUCCAUAGGAAAUCCUCACUGUUUAACCGUGUGAGGAGCCUAAGUCAUUAAACGGAUCAUGUCUGUAUAUUGUGUAAUGAAUGAAAAGCACAUAAAUGUAAUCUACUUUGAACUUUGUAAAAAUUAUGUGUGGAGGCUAUUCUUAUUUAUCCAUCUCAAGUCCUGUGUGUGCACAUGUGCGCAAGUGCACAUACGUGUAUGUAUGUGUGUAUAAUAACACAUUGUAAUGUAAAGAACAGAAAUUACUUUAAAAAAUAAACAGAAAUGGAGACCUGAGC